rnacentral:rRNA from 1 species
CAUAUAAGGUCCCUAAAUUUUCUGUUUUUAACAGAUCAGUCUUUUUGACUGAGAGCUAAGUGAUAAAGGAGGUGGAAUUCCAUAGAUAGCUAGGAGGUGAGCUUAGAAGCAGCUAUCCUUUAAAAAGUGCGUAAUAGCUUACUAGCUAAGGAAUUCUGCGCCGAAAAUUCACGGGACUAAAGCUCAAUACCGAAGAUAAGGAUGCGUUACUUUUAGUAAUGCGUGGUAGGGGAGCGUUCUUAGUGCAGCGAAGUUAAAUCGUAAGAUUUGAUGGAGCGCUAAGAAGUGAGAAUGUUGGUAUGAGUAACCGCAAUCAAGGUGAGACCCCUUGACACCGAAAGCCCAAGGUUUCCUUGGCAAUGACAAUCAACCAAGGGUUAGGCGGGCCUAAAGCGAAGCCGAAGGGCGUAGCUGAUGGACAGUCGGUUAAUAUUCCGACCCUUCUACUAAUUAAACACAAGUGACGAAAAGUAGUAUCCUGGGCGCAUUAUUGGAUUUGCGUUCAUUGCAUGAGAUUUUUCAAGUGUCGUGAAAAUUUCUUUUUACGAAAAGAGAAAUUCAGGGGAGCACUUUUCCUAGAAAAACCUUGAAUAUACUAAUUAGUAGGAUCCGUACCGCAAACCAACACAGGUGGGCAGGGAGAGAAUCCUAAGGCGCUCGAGAGAACCCUCGUUAAGGAAUUCGGCAAACAUACUCCGUAACUUCGGGAUAAGGAGUGCCUUUUCAACGGACGUUUUUAACUGAAGUUGAAAAGGUCGCAGUGAAAAAGGUCCGGGCGACUGUUUACUAAAAACACAGGUCUCUGCUAAGAUGAAUAGUCAAUGUAUAGAGACUGACGCGUGCUCGAUGCCAGAAAGUUAAGGGAAUAGGUUAUUUCCUGAGUAAUUGGGAGAGAAGCUUAGAACUGAAGCUCUGGUGAAUGGCGGCUCUAACUAUGAGAGUCCUAAGGUAGCGAAGUUCCUUGUCGGGUAAUUUCCGACGCGCAUGAAUCGCGUAACGACCUGGACACUGUCUCAACGAGGGACUCGGCGAAAUUGUAGUUGUGGUGAAGAUGCCACAUACCCGCGGCAAGACGGAAAGACCCCGUGAACCUUUACUAUAGCCUGGUAUUGAUGCCUGGCAUAUCAUACGUAGGAUAGGUGGGAGGCUGUGAAGUGGUGCUUCCGGGCAUCACCGAGCCAUCCUUGAAAUACCACCUUUGCUAUGUUAGUCACCUAACCGCGACCCGUGAAUCCGGGUUCUGAACAGUGAUAAGUGGGCAGUUUGACUGGGGCGGUCUCCUCCUAAAAAGUAACGGAGGAGUCCAAAGGCUUCCUCAGUGCGGUUGGCAAUCGCAUGUAGAGUGUAAAGGCAUAAGGGUA